GAUGAACGCUGGCGGCGUGCCUAAUACAUGCCAGUCGAGCGAACGGACGAGAAGCUUGCUUCUCUGAUGUUAGCGGCGGACGGGUGAGUAACACGUGGAUAACCUACCUAUAAGACUGGGAUAACUUCGGGAAACCGGAGCUAAUACCGGAUGAUAUUUUGAACCGCAUGGUUCAAAAGUGAAAGACGGUCUUGCUGUCACUUAUAGAUGGAUCCGCGCUGCAUUAGCUAGUUGGUAAGGUAACGGCUUACCAAGGCAACGAUGCAUAGCCGACCUGAGAGGGUGAUCGGCCACACUGGAACUGAGACACGGUCCAGACUCCUACGGGAGGCAGCAGUAGGGAAUCUUCCACAAUGGGCGAAAGCCUGACGGAGCAACGCCGCGUGGGUGAUGAAGGUCUUCGGAUCGUAAAACUCUGUUAUUAGGGAAGAACAUAUGUGUAAGUAACUGUGCACAUCUUGACGGUACCUAAUCAGAAAGCCACGGCUAACUACGUG
rnacentral:rRNA from 1 species